UACGGAGGGUGCGAGCGUUGUCCGGAAUCACUGGGCGUAAAGGGCGCGUAGGCGGCUGUGUAAGUCAGUUGUGAAAUCCCGGGGCUCAACUCCGGGGCUGCAGGUGAGACUGCAUGGCUAGAGUACGGUAGAGGCAAGUGGAAUUCCCGGUGUAGCGGUGGAAUGCGUAGAUAUCGGGAAGAACACCGGUGGCGAAGGCGGCUUGCUGGGCCGUUGCUGACGCUGAUGCGCGAAAGCGUGGGGAGCAAACAGG
rnacentral:rRNA from 1 species